AGAAUAGGAUAUCCCAUUCCCUCGGCGGCAGCAGCAGAGCAGAGAAAAAGCCAGAGGCAGAGAGCGGCCAGCGUUCCAGUCAACCACCGCUUCGUCUCCCCCAGCCCCACACCGCUCGCCCCCUCCUCCGGAUUCCCAUCUUCUCCCGAGCUUCUCACCUCACGUCUAUAAAUAAGGCGCCCCGCGGCGCCCAUCAAUUCGCGUCACCGCGUCCCGAGAGCGCGAAUCACUCCGCGCGCCGCAAAAACCCUAGCCCAGCCACUGAUCUCCUCUCAUGGCGGCCACCACCAGCCAGGCGAGCCUCCUCCUCCAGAAGCAGCUCAGAGAUCUCGCCAAGCACCCGGUGGAUGGGUUCUCGGCUGGGCUGGUCGACGACAUCAAUGUUUUCGAGUGGCAGGUCACCAUCAUCGGCCCGCCUGACACCCUAUAUGAUGGAGGGUACUUUAACGCGAUAAUGAGUUUCCCACAAAAUUACCCAAACAGCCCACCGUCAGUCAGAUUUACCUCUGAAAUGUGGCAUCCAAAUGUGUAUCCAGAUGGCAGGGUGUGUAUUUCUAUUCUUCAUCCACCUGGUGAAGAUCCCAAUGGCUAUGAGCUCGCGAGUGAGCGUUGGACACCUGUGCACACCGUUGAAAGUAUAGUUCUGAGCAUUAUUUCAAUGCUCUCUAGUCCAAAUGAUGAGUCUCCAGCAAAUAUUGAAGCAGCUGGGUAAAAUCGCGUUGACUAGGGGCAGAAUCGCGUUGACUUGUGAACAACAAGGGCAAAAUCACAAAGUUAAGGAAAAUGUGGGUACAAUCACAAUUGCAUUGUAAAUUAGAGAAGGAAUGGAGGGAGAAGAGGGAGGACUUCAAGAAAAAGGUUAGGCGCAUUGUCCGUAAAUCACAGGAAAUGCUCUGAAGAAAGCAAGAGUACCGUGGAAGCUAACCAUGCCAUCAGGCUGCAAGAUUUUGCUGUCGAGCUCCCGAAUGUUCAUUUGAUACCAGCAUCUUGUAUAUUUUCCAUUUAGCGUCUGACCAUUGGUGAUAGUGGUAUUGUCACCAGAAAUGCACUGGGACGUGUCGCCUACUCUAAAGGUUCGGUUGUAUCGUGUGGCUUGGGCUACCAAUGUUGAUAAACUUGAAAUGCUGCAAUUUAUCAUAACUUUGGUGGUGAACCUUGUAUAAACAGACGCCAUUCAUGUCA